rnacentral:rRNA from 1 species
GAUGAACGCUGGCGGCGUGCCUAAUACAUGCAAGUCGAGCGAACGGACGAGAAGCUUGCUUCUCUGAUGUUAGCGGCGGGCGGGUGAGUAACACGUGGAUAACCUACCUAUAAGACUGGGAUAACUUCGGGAAACCGGAGCUAAUACCGUAUAAUAUUUUGAACCGCAUGGUUCAAAGGUGAAAGACGGUCUUGCUGUCACUUCUCGCUGGAUCCGCGCUGCAUUAGAUAGUUGGUAAGGUAAAGGCUUACCAAGGCAACGAUGCAUAGCCGACCUGAUAGGGUGAUCGGCCACACUGGAACUUAGACACGGUCCAGACUCCUACGGGAGGCAGCAGUAGGGAAUCUUCCGCAAUGGGCGAAAGCCUGACGGAGCAACGGCGCGUGAGUGAUGAAGGUCUUCGGAUCGUAAAACUCUGUUAUUAGUGAAGAACAUAUGUGUAAGGAACUGUGCACAUCUUGACGGUACCUAAUCAGAAAGCCACGGCUAACUACGUG